rnacentral:lncRNA from 1 species
AAGAAAGCCAUUCCACCUCACUGUUUUAAGCGCUCUGUUAUCCAUUCAUUCUCCUAUGUUGUUUAUGACCUCACCAUAGCCUUCUUCCUCUAUUACGUUGCCACCCAUUACUUCCAGCACCUUCCUCGCCCUCUCUCUUUCUUGGCCUGGCCUGCUUACUGGGCUAUCCAAGGUUGCAUCCUUACCGGUGUUUGGGUCAUUGCACAUGAGUGUGGCCACCAUGCAUUCAGUGACUAUCAAUGGCUUGAUGAUACAGUUGGCCUUAUUCUCCACUCUGCCCUUCUUGUGCCUUACUUUUCAUGGAAAUACAGCCAUCGCCGCCACCAUUCCAACACCGGUUCUCUUGAGCGGGAUGAAGUCUUUGUGCCCAAACAGAAGUCCAGCAUCUAUUGGUACUCCAAAUACCUUAGCAACAACCCACUAGGCAGAGUCCUCACCAUUACCAUCACCCUCACUCUUGGCUGGCCCCUUUACCUGGCUCUCAAUGUUUCAGGCAGGCCUUAUGAUAGAUUUGCUUGCCACUUUAACCCACAUGGUCCCAUUUACUCAGAUCGUGAACGUCUUCAAAUAUAUGUAUCAGAUGCAGGAAUACUUGCAGUGUGCUUCGGGCUUUACCAUCUUGCCAUGGCCAAAGGUCUUGCCUGGGUUGUGUGUGUUUAUGGAGUUCCACUGCUUGUAGUCAAUGGAUUCUUGGUAUUGAUUACAUUUUUGCAGCAUACUCACCCUGCGUUGCCGCAUUACGAUUCCUCUGAGUGGGACUGGUUGAGAGGAGCUUUAGCAACUGUUGACAGGGAUUAUGGAAUCCUGAACAAGGUCUUCCACAAUAUUACAGACACUCAUGUGGCACAUCACUUGUUCUCCACAAUGCCUCAUUAUCAUGCAAUGGAGGCUACCAAGGCAAUUAAACCAAUUUUGGGAGAUUAUUAUCGGUUGGAUGAAACACCAUUUUACCAGGCAUUAUGGAGAGAAGCUAGAGAGUGUAUCUAUGUCGAGCCAGAUCAAGGUACUGAGAGAAAGGGUGUAUUCUGGUACAACAAUAAGUGGUGAUUAUUAGAGCUGCUGUAGCAUGUUGUCUAUGAGGUGGGAAUGUUUGAAAUUCUCUUAGGAUGUUUGGUCUUAGAGAAUAAUUUUGUUGAAUCUUGAUAUAUUUGUAGUAGUAAACAGUACUGGAAUAGUUUGCUUGAUUGCAGAAUAAGGUAUAACAUUUCUGAACAGUAGUAGUGUAUGUAUUGCACCUUGAUUUGAAAUCGGUGCAUGUGCGUCUAGUUUCUCAAGGUACUUCAAAUCUGUCUGUUGAGAAGCUUAUUUUAUUCUUGUUCUUGGUUCCAAGUCAUUCACAUAUUCUGUGUUUGAUUAAGAAUUAUGAAUUUGUCUGUAACUUUCUGUGGUCAAGUCUACUGUUUGAUAACAAAAAAAAUAAGUUUUAGUUGUUUCCUAUCUAGUUGGGGGGCACUUUUCUUUCUGCCUAAUCACAUUUUCUGUCCUUCUACUGUGGUGAAUAUGCUCCUUCAUUCUCUACAUUAUUGCAUCAAGAUUGAGUUUUGUAGCGCUGUAAACAUGCUAGAAGUUAAGUUAAUUUUUUUUUCCCCUUACAGAUAGAACUAAAGAUAAUGAGUAGGAUAUCACUUAAAUUCUUUCAACUCAUUUAAAUAGUAAAUCAUCCCUCCAGAAAUGUUAUGUGUUUGCGUUUUAGAUUAAAAUCAAUAGCAACUGAUAAAACGAUAAGUACAACCGUUGCAUGUAUUUCAAGGUUUGUAUUAUUAUUGCUAGUAAUGUAGUAUAAAACAUGCAACAUUUUUCGUAUUGGUUUCAAGUUUUAAAAAUCUUCUCAUAAACAAUUAAGUUAUUUUAAAAAUCUUUGAAAAUAUUUUUUAUUCCGAACAAUGUACUAUAUUUUUUCUUUUGGAGUAAAAAAAGAAGGUUACUGAGAUUAUUGUGUAGAAAUAAAACUCAGCAAACUAUAACUUCUCAUUGUCACUCAUAUUUGUAUUUUUAAAAUUUUGAACGGAGUAUAAUUUUAAAAAAUACAUACAAAAUCAAAAUAUUUACGAAACGCGUCAAGAAAAUGAUUCCUCUAAGUAUGAUAUCAUACCUUAAAACAAACACAUCCUAACUAAUUUUAUUUGGAGAACUAUUAGAUACAUGAAAUUUGAUUGGAUAUUUAUUUUUUAUAUAUCGUAAGCAAAAUUCAUUCAAAAUUUGAUCUUUUUUUUAUAAAAUAAAUCAAUACAAAAAUAUGGCAUGACAUUGUACAUAAACUUUAUAAGUACCAACGUGUUCACAAUUUUGUUUAUCAAAUUUGUUUCAAAGGCAGGAAAAAUCUAAAACAAACACAAAAUAAAAUUUUCCCUUAAGAUAACGCACGUACGUAACUUGGAACAAAAAGUAUAUACUAUUAAAACUAACUGAAUGGACUUAUGGACGUAUAUAAAAAAGUUUAAAAUAUUAUGGAGAUGCGGGGUAUCGAACCCCGUACCUCUCGCAUGCAAAGCGAGCGCUCUACCAUGUGAGCUACAUCCCCAUGUCGUUAAACUUUCACUUAAAACAUAUAUAUAAUAUGAAAUAUCCUCCGAGUGUCUAUAAGUAAGUUCCUCUGCGUCAUCACUACCAACAAACAAAUACACAGAAAAAAAGAGCGAGUUUCGAACUCUUCCCGCCAAAGCAGCCAUGCCAAUGGAGUUUAAGAGAAUGCAAUGCUCCUACGAAUCCUUGGUUCACUUCUUCCACUUUCUCUCUCGUUGUAUUCGUCUUGUUAACUUCGUAACUAUGCUAACACGAAUUUGUUGCAGGACGAAUCGUUCGAAAUCGGUAAAGAGAUGUAUCGUGGACAACAAUACAGUCAAAUCUACUUCGCGCGUCUUCACUUGAUGCGAACUCUCUUGUAUUCUCUUGUUCCUCAUUGGAAACCUAAUACUCCUGGUGAUUAUUCUCAAUUUCUCUAUUUUUUUUCAAUUUAGGGUUUUGACUUUAAAUCUCCUAUUUUUUGUGUGUAUUUAUGGUGUUUAAUUGCUUGAAUUUUUGAUUAAUUGUUUGAAAUUAUUUAUUUACAGUAUGCACGGUGUUGGGAUUGGAAGAGGGCAAGGAAUGUGUUAUUGUUGGAACACUGUUUAAAAAUAUGAAGUUGAAGCCUUGUAUACUUGAUGAGUAUUCUAAGCAGGUAAUAGGAUUCUGGGUUUCUUUCAAUUUUUGUUUUUGGAGGUGUUUGGUUGUUGUUUUUAUGUAAAUUUUGUAUUUUGCGGUUAUAAUGUAGCGGAAUUUGAACAAAUGGUAAUUGUUUUGUGAUAAGCAAUUCAAUACUAAAUGUUGUUAUAUAGUGGUUAUAGCGGUGAUGUUGCAUUGCUGCGUAGUGGAAUUUGAACAAGCUUGCGAUUGAUAAUAAUGUGUUUUGUAAGUAUGAAAAUUUGACAAUGAUAUGGCACAGUGCUGAGUUUCUUUGCUAAUUAAUUGUAGAGAUCGGUGCCUGUCAAGUCACAUAACUUUGUGCAUGAAGAUGAUUAUCUUGUUCUUGAAGAUGAAAGUGGAAGAGUUAAGCUUGGUGGGAGUAUCAUUGUACCAUCUGUCUAUGUGACAGGUUUGUAUCAUUAACUACUUAAUUGAGAAAAAUUGUUUUGUGGUGGUAGGAUAACAUUUUUGAAAGGCACAACUGCACAUUCAUUCGAAGAAACUAAGUUUGGUAUAUGUCAUUUCUUGACUUUUCCUGCCUUUUUCCCUACAAGGAAUUGUUGUGGUACGGACAAUAUUGGAUUGCUAAUUUGCUGUGCUUCAUAUUGUUCUAAGAAAUCUUGAAAUCAAACAUAUGGCUUCUUAAUGACAUUUGUUCUUUUAGGGAUGCAAAUGACAUGCCAAAUAAUAAUUUUCUGUCUUGCAAAUGAUGAUUUUGUGCUAACAUCGUCUUGGACAGGAAUUGUGGUUGCUUUACAUGGUAAGGAGACGGGAGCAGGUGAUUUUUUGGUUCAGGAAGUUCUUGAAGCUGGCUUACCACCGCAGAUAGAAUUCCCCAUUAAAUCAAGUAUUUUUCUCAGUCUUUCGCAUAUACAAUGUUCAAACCUAGUGGUAUACAUGCAUAGCAUAUUAUGAGAUUUUGUAUUACAAUUGUAGACACUUUUGGUCUAAUGGUAGGCUGAUAUUUUCCAUUGAAGGAUGUAUGAAUCCAAUAUUUGUGAUUAGCAUCCCACUAUCCUGUACAAAGUGUGGUUUGAAUUGUCUAUUGCAUAUUUUUCCUCAUUAGGAGUUCUGCUGUUUGAAAAAUUUAUGAUUCAUUGUCAGGAAGCAUAGAUUCUCUCAUACUUUGCUUCAUUCAACAUAUUCUACGUCCUUUCGAUGGCAUAUGGCUUUUUCUUAUAUGCUGGAGUUAAAGAAACUAGCUUAUUUUUCUCUUUAUAUUUGUUAAAUAUUGAAAAGUUAUCUGUAUCAUAAUUCAAAUUAAUUGCAUGCUGUAUGCUCCAUUUUCUCUUGUUAUUUCUUUGAUGAGUAACAGCCUUGCCAUCUUUUAACUGUGCAUUUUUUAUACUCCAUUCUCAACAUUUGUUAUUAAUUUUUUUUACUUUAUUUAAGUUGCCACUUAAAGUUCCCUUUUUAUUUGGAUUCAACAGGGGAAGACAAAUAUGUUGUUCUUGUCUCAGGAUUAAGUGUUGGGAGCAGCAAGUCUAACCCUCUUCAGUUUCAGCUUCUUGUUGAUCAUAUUACUGGGCAUUUAGGAGAUGAGAAGGUCCGUGUCCUGUUUUUCUCUCAAAGCUGAGGUUGAUCAUAUAAUGCAACAUUUAAAGGUUUUAAGAUGUAUAUAUUGACAAAAUAAACAGGAGCAAAGUAUUGCGGCACAAAUUGUUCGUGUAGUCAUUGCUGGAAAUUCUGUUGAGAUGCCUCGUGGACUUCUUAAUGGACAGGUAUUAUUGUCAUUGUCGAAGUAAACCCCUAUGUCUGUUAGUUUCUACUUACUAGCAGUGUAUAGUGUACAAAAUAGUUUUUUUUUUAGGAAAAUGCUAACAAUUUGUGUAGUUAAC